rnacentral:rRNA from 1 species
CCUACGGGAGGCAGCAGUGGGGAAUAUUGCACAAUGGGGGGAACCCUGAUGCAGCGACGCCGCGUGAGUGAAGAAGUAUUUCGGUAUGUAAAGCUCUAUCAGUAGGGAAGAUAAUGACGGUACCUGACUAAGAAGCCCCGGCUAACUACGUGCCAGCAGCCGCGGUAAUACGUAGGGGGCAAGCGUUAUCCGGAUUUACUGGGUGUAAAGGGAGCGUAGGCGGCUGUGCAAGUCUGAAGUGAAAGGCGAGGGCCCAACCCCAGGACUGCUCUGGAAACUGUAAAGCUGGAGUGUAGGAGAGGUAAGCGGAAUUCCUGGUGUAGGGGUGAAAGGCGUAGAGAUUAGGAGGAACACCAGUGGCGAAGGCGGCUUACUAGACUGCAACUGACGUUGAGGCGCGAAAGCGUGGGGAGCAAACAGGAUUAGAUACCCUGGUAGUC